CUGCAUGUACAUAUGACAGGAACUGCACAAAUCACAUAAAAGUCUCUGAGAAUAAAACAUAAUUAUGAGCUGGUAAAAUAUGUCACCUGACCUGAAACAACAGAAGGUAAGAAGAAAACACAAGAAGCAAGCCUGCAUGUUUGCAGUGGACAGGAAAUGUGAACACGUCACACAACUGCUGUGGUCAAAGCUACAGGAGCUGUUUGAGGUUUGUAUAAAAGGAAAGGAAGCACAGAGAGGCCACAGUCAGAAGAAACACUCUGGUCUUAUCUGUAUUAAAUGCAGCUUCUCUUUUUAUUAUUGAUGUAAAGUCAAAGUGUUUGAGAUCAGCUGAGGAUCAGAGUGCAGCAGGGCUGGAUGUGAGGAUGGGGCACUCUUUGCUCUGCAUGACGGGCUUAUUGUAAAGUUGUAGAAGUUUUCAGACGUGUCACUGCUGGAUGUGAGGAUGGGAGCCACUUUGCUCUGUGAGCUGGGCCUAUUCUUGCUCUGUACGCUCCUCUGCACUGGACACACUCAAGAUGCUGUGCUAACUAUUGAACCCAACUGGUCCAGUUUUUUCAUCGGAGAGUUUGUUACCUUCAAAUGUGACAUGAAUGAAGGAGAAGACACUGACU